CUGCCUAUCCAUGUCCCUUGCCCAUUUAUCAAUUGGAGAAUGGCUUGAUUUUUUGUACAAUUGAUUUAGCUCUUUGUAAAUUUGAGUAAUUAAACCGUUGUCAGAGGUUUUUAUGAAGAUUGUUUUGAUUUGCAUCUCUCUGAUUAUAAGAGAUGUAGAGCACUUUUUCAUGUGCUUAUUAAUAGUUUUGAUUUCUUUGGCUGAGAACUGCCUGUUCAUGUCCCUUGCCCAUUUAUCAAUUGGAGAAUGGCUUGAUUUUUUGUACAAUUGAUUUAGCUCUUUGUAAAUUUGAGUAAUUAAACCUUUGUCAGAGGUUUUUAUGAAGAUUGUUUCCCAAUUUGUUGCUUUCCUUCUGAUUUAAAUUACAUUGGUUUUGUUUGUACAAAUACUUUUUAAUUUGAUGUAGUCAAAAUUAUUUAUUUUACAUUUUGUGACUCUUUCUAUGUCUUGCUUGGUUUUAAAAUCUUUCCCUUCCCAAAGGUCUAACAGGUAUACUAUUCUGUGUUCACCUAAUUUACUUAUAGUUUCCUUCUUUAUGUUCAAGUCAUUCACCCAUUCUGAAUUUAUCUUGGUGUAGGGUGUGAGGUGUUGAUCCAAACCUAAUCUCUCCCACACUGUCUUCCAAUUUUCCCAGCAGUUUUCAUCAAAUAAUGGAUUUUUGUCCCCAAAGCUGGGGUCUUUGGGUUUGCAUUAACUGUCUUGCUGAGAUCAUUUAUGCCAAGUCUAUUCCACUGAUCCUCCUUUCUGUCUCUUAGCCAGUACCAAAUUGUUUUGAUAACCACUGCUUUAUAGUAUAGUUUGAGAUCUGGGACUGCAAGUCCUCCUUCCUUUGCAUUUUUUUUUCAUGAUUUCCCAGGAUAUCCUUGAUCUUUUGUUCUUCCAAAUGAACUUAGUUAUGGUUUUUUCUAAUUCAGUAAAGAAGUUUUUCGGUAGUUCAAUGGGUAUGGCACUAAAUAAGUAAAUUAAUUUGGGUAGAAUUGUCAUUUUUAUUAUGUUAGCUCAUCCCACCCAUGAGCAAUCAAUGUUUUUCCAAUUGUUUAGAUCUAGUUUUAGUUGUGUGGAAAGUGUUUUGUAGUUGUGUUCAUAUAGUUCCUGUGUUUGUCUCGGCAGAUAGAUUCCUAAGUAUUUUAUAAUGUCUAGGGUGAUUUUGAAUGGUAUUUUGCUUUCUAAUUCUUGCUGCUGAAAUAGGUUAGAGAUAUAAAAAUGCUGAUGACUUAUGCGGGUUUAUUUUGUAUCCUGCAACUUUGCUAAAGUUGUUGAUUAUUUUGAGU
rnacentral:lncRNA from 1 species